rnacentral:rRNA from 1 species
UGGAAGGGCCAUCGCUCAACGGAUAAAAGCUACCCUGGGGAUAACAGGCUUAUCUCCCCCAAGAGUCCACAUCGACGGGGAGGUUUGGCACCUCGAUGUCGGCUCAUCACAUCCUGGGGCUGUAGUAGGUCCCAAGGGUUGGGCUGUUCGCCCAUUAAAGUGGUACGCGAGCUGGGUUCAGAACGUCGUGAGACAGUUCGGUCCCUAUCCGUCGCAGGCGUAGGAAAUUUGAGAAGACCUGUCCUUAGUACGAGAGGACCGGGAUGGACGUACCUCUGGUGUACCAGUUGUUCUGCCAAGGGCAUGGCUGGGUAGCUAUGUACGGAAUGGAUAAGCGCUGAAAGCAUCUAAGCGCGAAGCCAACUUCAAGAUAAGAUUUCCCACCGCAAGGGUAAGACCCCAGAAAGACUAUCUGGUUGAUAGGUCGAAGGUGUAAGUGCAGCAAUGUAUUUAGCUUAUCGAUACUAAUAGGUCGAGGACUUGACCAAAUU